CCAGCCGGUUGGACGGCCGCUCCGGCAAGGGCUGAAAGGUCGCCGGGGAGGAAAGUCCGGGCUCCACGGAAACACGGCGCCGGGUAACACCCGGCGGGGGCGACCCCAGGGAAAGUGCCACAGAAAACAGACCGCCGGUUCCUUCGCGUGCCGGUAAGGGUGAAACGGUGGGGUAAGAGCCCACCGCGCGGACGGUAACGGACGCGGCAUGGUAAACCCCGCCGGGAGCAAGACCGCAUAGGGGUGGUAGGCUGUUUCCGGCCGAUGCCACUCGGGUAGGUCGCGUGAGGCGUUCGGCAACGAACGUCCCAGAUGAAUGGCCGUCACGUUGGGGUUCGCCCCAGCCAUACAAAACCCGGCUUACAGACCGGCUGGCACC
rnacentral:RNase_P_RNA from 1 species